CAGAACCUAGCAGAGAUCUUGGAACCUAUCAGGUGACCAGUAAAUAUUUUGGUGAUGAAUGGACUCAUAGGUAUGGUGAAGCCAACAGAUCAGGAAACAAUUGCCACUGAGAAGACAGUUCAUCACAGUUCCCAAGAGAAAGAAGCACAUCACAACACACAGGCCACACUGGCUUCCAUGUAAACAAUGGGAAAGGCAGGCCAGCAGUAUGUGGUACAGUACUCUCUUGUGAUGCUGGGCAGCAGUGAGCCAGAGCUCCCAGUCAGCCAUGUGACCAUGAAGGUAAACAACUGAUACACUGACAACCAUUCUGUACCCAUACAACUGUU